GCCCUUUACAUUUCUAUACAUUCUAAAAAAAAUCAUUUUGUAAGGCAUUAACAUAUUUAACACACAGCAUUGAAUUUUUAUUAUUUUUAUUUUACAAUUUCUGAACAAUAUCACCAUGUGCAGAGAGGCAAACAGCUCAUAGUCCAUACAUUAUGAACUGGAAGGGCAGGUUUGAAAAGCUUUUUACGGUCUUGUAUAUAGAGACAUAAAAUAAAAAUAGCAAAUACUCUGAUAUAAGGAAAUUCUCUGUUUCCUUGUUAAUUGCACCAUCAAAAGGUAAUCAGGUGUUAUGGCUAAUUUACCAAAAUGCUUCAAAACUGAUCCAAAUCUGAACUUUUCGUGAUUCACCUCAACUGGCCCUAAAAACUGCAGUAACUCAAAAAUAUCAGUGAUGAGUUCCAUUGAACAAAUAUCACCAUGAGAUUCGAUAAUUGAGUAGAUGCCUCAGUGCUUGAUUAUUAUUGGCAUUUAUAUAGUGCCAACUUAUUACAUUGUGGGGGGGAAUUUAACAACACAUGAAAAAAAAAAAAAAAAGAUUAAACCUUUUGACAGGAACACUUAAAGGAAAACUCCAGUACCAGGAAAACAAUCAGUUUUCCUGACACUGCAGGUACCCUCUCUCUACCUCCCUCCCAUCCCUGAAACCUCGGCGGUGGUUUCGGGUCGGCGUCACUCCUCCCAGUAAUCACGUCAGCCGGUGGGUGAGACUGAUCCCACCCGCCGGCUGAGGAAACCUAAUGCUCAAGAUUUUCAGUGCUUUUCUAUGGGGAAUUGAGCAACGCUGGAGGUCCUCACACAGCGUGAGGACGUCCAGCGACGCUCUAGCAAAGAAAAUCUUUGCUAUGAAUCAGGACGUGCCCUCUAGUGGCUGUAGACAGCCACUAGAGGUGGAGUUAACCCUGCAAUGUAAUUAUUGCAGUUUAUAAAAAAAACUGCAAUAAUUACAGUUGCAGGGUUAAGAGUAGUGGGAGUUGGCACCCAGACCACUCCAAUGGGCAGAAGUGGUCUGGGUGCCUGGAAUGUCCCUUUAAAUGAGGAGGACACUGCUUUAAUUAGUUUACAAAGAACCCUCAUACUGCUGCCUAUGGUGAGGGAUUAAUAGAUUAAAUCUCCAUCUUGGUUAUAGCGGGUUUGCUGUACCACAUUUCCCCCUCCUCCACCCCAAAUUUGGCUAAUCUAGCAUGUAAUCAGACAUAAAUAACAGAUUCCGUCCUUCUCCCAUAUUAAAUAUACACAUACACACAUAGCAGUGUGCGGGGUGCAGACUACACUGGGUGGCACCAUUAUUUGGGGUGCAGUUCUUUAGUACGACAGGCAGCUUGGAGCCCUGAAUCGUUGGUUUUGUGUUGCUUUCUCUGCUCGGUUGGGCAGGGAGAGCAGCACAGAGGUGUUAGGGGUGCAGGUAUCAGGUGUAGACCUGGUGUAAUUGCUCCCACAAGCUCCUGAUGGUUCAGAGUGUUGCCAAGGGUUACCACGGCAUAACAACUGAUACUGUGAAUGGAAGAGGCAUUACACCAGAUCUACAUCAGCAGUAGGUGCACACCAAAAGCUCUUCACACUGGACCUCCAGGAAUAAUCAUGUCCUUCCUCCCUGGCCCAAGAUAACAGUAGGGAGUGGGAAAUCAACUUUAAUUUUGUUUUAUUAAUAAUAUACAUGUUCUUAUAAUAAAAAUGUAUACAUACAUACACACCUGCACCUAGGUCAUAAAAAAAAAAAAACACUCAAAACACAAGGGACUGUGUAUUCAAAAUAGAAUGUGCCUGCAUUAAAAAUAGAGCAGCUUAAGAUAUUUUCACAGGAAGACACAAAUGCAGAUUUCUUGCCAUUGUUUGUAUCGAGCACCAGGGCAUGAACGUUUCAUAAGUGCAAGGUUGGAACAAACAUAAUUGAUAGAUAAACAUCAACUAAAACAAUAACUUCGUUGCAAUAAAUUCAUAUUUCAGACCAAAAGUAGUUUAUAGGUACUGUCCAACUUAAAGGGAUACUCCAAGCCUCAUAACCACUACAACUCACUGCAUGGGUUACGAUCAGGGCCGGACUGGGAAAAAAAAUUAGGCCCGGGCAUUUUUCAAUUAGAGCGGCCCCCCAAGAAGGGGGCGGGGUCAGAGAGGGUGUGUUUUGUCAUCACUAAUGACAAGCACGCCCCCUCUCAAAGUAAGCAUGUUGGUUCAAUGCGCAGAGCCCCGCUGAAGAGCUCUAGCAUUAGAAAAAGGCCCUGAAUUUGUUCUGCGCAGCGCAAGCAAAUGUAAUAACAUGCUUGCGCUGUGUUUGCUUUUAAAUUGUCUCUGGUGUCUCCACAAGUGGGAUACCAGAGGACAAAAGGGCCAGGAAAGUGUAUUUUGCAUGUGUUUGGCGCCUGCUUGUGGGAUUGCCUGUGUGUAGAGUGUGGUGUGGUAUUGUGUAAAUAGGUGUAAUAUGUGUUGCUAGGGGCUGUAGAGAGUGCGUGUAUAGGGGCAUAGUGUUAUAGGGGAUGUAGCGAGUGUGUGCAUACGGGCAGUAGUGUGUGUGUAUAGGUGGCGUAGUGUGU